rnacentral:rRNA from 1 species
UACAGAGGGGGCAAGCGUUGUUCGGAAUUACUGGGCGUAAAGGGCGCGUAGGCGGCCUCUUAAGUCGAACGUGAAAUCCCCGGGCUCAACCCGGGAACUGCGUCCGAUACUGGGAGGCUUGAAUCCGGGAGAGGGAUGUGGAAUUCCAGGUGUAGCGGUGAAAUGCGUAGAUAUCAGGAGGAACACCGGUGGUGUAAACGGCUUUCUGGACCAUAACUGACGCUGAGGCACGAAAGCGUGGGUAGCAAACAGG